UUGAACUCUUUUGCAGAGACUCUUUUUCUUAUAGUACUAAAAUCAGCCAUGGUGAAGAAUUCUGGAGAAGCCAAGUUAAGACUUUUCUGUGGAGAAAGGGGGUGACACUUCAAUACAAGGAGAACAGAGGGGAGGCACAGGAGGGGGCCCAAUAAUGGGGCUUGAAAUCAAGGGAAAGGGACAGGGUCCUGGAGAAGUGUGGCCUCAAGCAAGCAGCCAGGCCCAGGAAUGGAGAGUCAAGUGCGUUGGCCCAGGAAGGGGUCCCAUG
rnacentral:lncRNA from 1 species